rnacentral:rRNA from 1 species
GACGAACGCCGGCGGCGUGCUUAACACAUGCAAGUCGAACGGAAAGGCCCUGCUUUUGUGGGGUGCUCGAGUGGCGAACGGGUGAGUAACACGUGAGUAACCUGCCCUUGACUUUGGGAUAACUUCAGGAAACUGGGGCUAAUACCGGAUAGGAGCUCCUGCUGCAUGGUGGGGGUUGGAAAGUUUCGGCGGUUGGGGAUGGACUCGCGGCUUAUCAGCUUGUUGGUGAGGUAGUGGCUUACCAAGGCUUUGACGGGUAGCCGGCCUGAGAGGGUGACCGGCCACACUGGAACUGAGACAGGGUCCAGACGCCUACGGGAGGCAGCAGUAGGGAAUCUGACGCAAUGGGCGAAAGCGUGACGGAGCAACGCCGCGUGAGUGAUGAAGGUCUUCGGAUCGGAAAGCUCUGUUAUUAGGGAAGAACAUAUGUGUAAGGAACUGUGCACAGCUUGACGGUACCUAAUCAGAAAGCCACGGCUAACUACGUG